rnacentral:rRNA from 1 species
GACGAACGCUGGCGGCAUGCCUAAUACAUGCAAGUCGAGCGAACAGAUGGAGUGCUUGCACUUCUGACGUUAGCGGCGAACGGGUGAGUAGCACGUAAGGAAUCUACCUAUAAGCGGGGGAUAACAUUCGGAAACGGGUGCUAAUACCGCAUAAUAUCUUCUUCCGCAUGGAAGAAGAUUGAAAGACGGCUCUGCUGUCACUUAUAGAUGACCUUGCGGUGCAUUAGUUAGUUGGUGGGGUAAUGGCCUACCAAGACGAUGAUGCAUAGCCGACCUGAGAGGGUGAUCGGCCACAUUGGGACUGAGACACGGCCCAAACUCCUACGGAAGGCAGCAGUAGGGAAUCUUCCGCAAUGGGCGAAAGCCUGACGGAGCAAUGCCGCGUGAGUGAAGAAGGCCUUCGGGUCGUAAAACUCUGUUAUAAGAGAAGAACAAAUUGUAGAGUAACUGCUACAGUCUUGACGGUAUCUUAUCAGAAAGCCACGGCUAACUACGUGCCAGCCGCCGCAGUAA